GACGAACGCUGGCGGCGUGCUUAACACAUGCAAGUCGAACGGAAAGGCCCUGCUUUUGUGGGGUGCUCGAGUGGCGAACGGGUGAGUAACACGUGAGUAACCUGCCCUUGACUUUGGGAUAACUUCAGGAAACUGGGGCUAAUACCGGAUAGGAGCUCCUGCUGCAUGGUGGGGGUUGGAAAGUUUCGGCGGUUGGGGAUGGACUCGCGGCUUAUCAGCUUGUUGGUGGGGUAGUGGCUUACCAAGGCUUUGACGGGUAGCCGGCCUGAGAGGGUGACCGGCCACAUUGGGACUGAGAUACGGCCCAGACUCCUACGGGAGGCAGCAGUGGGGAAUAUUGCACGAUGGGCGGAAGCCUGAUGCAGCAACGCCGCGUGCGGGAUGACGGCCUUCGGGUUGUAAGCCGCUUUCGCCUGUGACGAAGCGUGAGUGACGGUAAUGGGUAAAGAAGCACCGGCUAACUACGUG
rnacentral:rRNA from 1 species